rnacentral:rRNA from 1 species
AACGGCCGUACCAUGCUGAAUAUACCGGUUCUCGUUAGAUCACCGAAGUUAAGCAUCAUUGGGCGCGGUCAGUACUUGGGUGGGUGACCACCUGGGAACACUGCGUGCCG